ACCAAACCUCUUCGAGGCACAAGGCACAACAGGCUGCUCUGGGAUUCUCUUCAGCCAAUCUUCAUUGCUCAAGUGUCUGAAGCAGCCAUGGCAGAAGUACCUGAGCUCGCCAGUGAAAUGAUGGCUUAUUACAGUGGCAAUGAGGAUGACUUGUUCUUUGAAGCUGAUGGCCCUAAACAGAUGAAGUGCUCCUUCCAGGACCUGGACCUCUGCCCUCUGGAUGGCGGCAUCCAGCUACGAAUCUCCGACCACCACUACAGCAAGGGCUUCAGGCAGGCCGCGUCAGUUGUUGUGGCCAUGGACAAGCUGAGGAAGAUGCUGGUUCCCUGCCCACAGACCUUCCAGGAGAAUGACCUGAGCACCUUCUUUCCCUUCAUCUUUGAAGAAGAACCUAUCUUCUUCGACACAUGGGAUAACGAGGCUUAUGUGCACGAUGCACCUGUACGAUCACUGAACUGCACGCUCCGGGACUCACAGCAAAAAAGCUUGGUGAUGUCUGGUCCAUAUGAACUGAAAGCUCUCCACCUCCAGGGACAGGAUAUGGAGCAACAAGUGGUGUUCUCCAUGUCCUUUGUACAAGGAGAAGAAAGUAAUGACAAAAUACCUGUGGCCUUGGGCCUCAAGGAAAAGAAUCUGUACCUGUCCUGCGUGUUGAAAGAUGAUAAGCCCACUCUACAGCUGGAGAGUGUAGAUCCCAAAAAUUACCCAAAGAAGAAGAUGGAAAAGCGAUUUGUCUUCAACAAGAUAGAAAUCAAUAACAAGCUGGAAUUUGAGUCUGCCCAGUUCCCCAACUGGUACAUCAGCACCUCUCAAGCAGAAAACAUGCCCGUCUUCCUGGGAGGGACCAAAGGCGGCCAGGAUAUAACUGACUUCACCAUGCAAUUUGUGUCUUCCUAAAGAGAGCUGUACCCAGAGAGUCCUGUGCUGAAUGUGGACUCAAUCCCUAGGGCUGGCAGAAAGGGAACAGAAAGGUUUUUGAGUACGGCUAUAGCCUGGACUUUCCUGUUGUCUACACCAAUGCCCAACUGCCUGCCUUAGGGUAGUGCUAAGAGGAUCUCCUGUCCAUCAGCCAGGACAGUCAGCUCUCUCCUUUCAGGGCCAAUCCCCAGCCCUUUUGUUGAGCCAGGCCUCUCUCACCUCUCCUACUCACUUAAAGCCCGCCUGACAGAAACCACGGCCACAUUUGGUUCUAAGAAACCCUCUGUCAUUCGCUCCCACAUUCUGAUGAGCAACCGCUUCCCUAUUUAUUUAUUUAUUUGUUUGUUUGUUUUAUUCAUUGGUCUAAUUUAUUCAAAGGGGGCAAGAAGUAGCAGUGUCUGUAAAAGAGCCUAGUUUUUAAUAGCUAUGGAAUCAAUUCAAUUUGGACUGGUGUGCUCUCUUUAAAUCAAGUCCUUUAAUUAAGACUGAAAAUAUAUAAGCUCAGAUUAUUUAAAUGGGAAUAUUUAUAAAUGAGCAAAUAUCAUACUGUUCAAUGGUUCUGAAAUAAACUUCACUGAAG
rnacentral:misc_RNA from 1 species